GACGAACGCUGGCGGCGUGCUUAACACAUGCAAGUCGACAUGAGUGGCGAACGGGUGAGUAAUACUUGGGUAACCUGCCCUCCUUUUUGGGAUAAGCCUUGGAAACGGCGUCUACUACCUGCUAACGGGGGCUGGGCUGGUGGCCUAUCAGCUUGUUGGUGGGGUGAUGGCCUACCCAUGCGGUGACGGGUAGCCGGCCUGAGAGGGUGAACGGGAACAUUGGGACGGUGAUACGGCCUAGACGAGUACGGGAGGGAGCAGUGGGGGCUAUUGCACAAUGGGCGAAAGCCUGAUGCAGCGACGCCGCGGGGGGGAUGAAGGCUUUCGGGUUGUAAACCUCGUGCGCUAUCGAACGGGUAGGUGGAGAAGAAGCGCCGGCUAACUACGUGCCAGCAGCCGCGGUAAUAC
rnacentral:rRNA from 1 species